rnacentral:precursor_RNA from 9 species
UCAUUUUGAUCUCUAUUUUGACCUAUUUUCAUUUGAUCGAUCUUCAUUCUGAUAAAAGUGAAAAUCAAAAUGAAGACUGUUCAAAAUGAAAAUAGAUCAAAACGAAAGUAGAUGAAAAC